GAGUAACACGUGGGUAACCUGCCCAUAAGACUGGGAUAACUCCGGGAAACCGGGGCUAAUACCGGAUAACAUUUUGAACUGCAUGGUUCGAAAUUGAAAGGCGGCUUCGGCUGUCACUUAUGGAUGGACCCGCGUCGCAUUAGCUAGUUGGUGAGGUAACGGCUCACCAAGGCAACGAUGCGUAGCCGACCUGAGAGGGUGAUCGGCCACACUGGGACUGAGACACGGCCCAGACUCCUACGGGAGGCAGCAGUAGGGAAUCUUCCGCAAUGGACGAAAGUCUGACGGAGCAACGCCGCGUGAGUGAUGAAGGCUUUCGGGUCGUAAAACUCUGUUGUUAGGGAAGAACAAGUGCUAGUUGAAUAAGCUGGCACCUUGACGGUACCUAACCAGAAAGCCACGGCUAACUACGUGCCAGCAGCCGCGGUAAUACGUAGGUGGCAAGCGUUAUCCGGAAUUAUUGGGCGUAAAGCGCGCGCAGGUGGUUUCUUAAGUCUGAUGUGAACUGGGAGACUUGAGUGCAGAAGAGGAAAGUGGAAUUCCAUGUGUAGCGGUGAAAUGCGUAGAGAUAUGGAGGAACACCAGUGGCGAAGGCGACUUUCUGGUCUGUAACUGACACUGAGGCGCGAAAGCGUGGGGAGCAAACAGGAUUAGAUACCCUGAUAGUCCACGCCGUAAACGAUGAGUGCUAAGUGUUAGAGGGUUUCC
rnacentral:rRNA from 1 species